rnacentral:misc_RNA from 1 species
CAACCCUCAAGCUCUGCUUGGUAUUAGGUCUCACCUGUCAAGGCGGGCCGUAAAAUCAGUGGCGGUGCCAUCUGGCUUCAAGCGUAGUAAUUUUUCUCGCUUUGUUGAUCUUGAUGUGAACCUGCCAACAACCCCAAUUUUAUCAAAGG